UCUGAAAAAUUAAGUUUAUAUUCCACGCUGCUACUGAUACCGUGCACGUGGCACGGACCUUCAGGAAAGGGGCUACGGCACGGCGCACACUCGGUACAGAGAGGCGCGGAGACGUGAGGGACGAUGGGAACCCAGGCCUCACCUGGAACGUUCUCGAGCAGCUUCUGCUGCGCUCUUUGUUUUGUUUCCUGGCUUUGUUCUUUGCUUCGGAUUGUGGUCGGUGGUGCCAAUUUCCCAUUGGGCCAGAAAGAAUCCCGGAAAACAUUGAUGUAGUAAACCAACAUUUGCUCACUGAAAAUCCAGUUCACUGUGUCCCGGAUUUGUCUUUCAAGAGAAAAAUAUUUCUUGGAUGAGGUUUUUAAAAACAUUCUCUGUUCUCAAGAGGCAUUUAUCAGUGGGUAGAUUAAGAGACAGCCCGACUCUAAGCAUUUGAUGAAUAAACUAGGAAUGGGAUUUUUAAA